GGUUAAGCGACUAAGCGUACACGGUGGAUGCCCUGGCAGUCAGAGGCGAUGAAGGACGUGCUAAUCUGCGAUAAGCGUCGGUAAGGUGAUAUGAACCGUUAUAACCGGCGAUUUCCGAAUGGGGAAACCCAGUGUGUUUCGACACACUAUCAUUAACUGAAUCCAUAGGUUAAUGAGGCGAACCGGGGGAACUGAAACAUCUAAGUACCCCGAGGAAAAGAAAUCAACCGAGAUUCCCCCAGUAGCGGCGAGCGAACGGGGAGCAGCCCAGAGCCUGAAUCAGUGUGUGUGUUAGUGGAAGCGUCUGGAAAGGCGUGCGAUACAGGGUGACAGCCCCGUACACAAAAAUGCACAUGCUGUGAGCUCGAUGAGUAGGGCGGGACACGUGGUAUCCUGUCUGAAUAUGGGGGGACCAUCCUCCAAGGCUAAAUACUCCUGACUGACCGAUAGUGAACCAGUACCGUGAGGGAAAGGCGAAAAGAACCCCGGCGAGGGGAGUGAAAAAGAACCUGAAACCGUGUACGUACAAGCAGUGGGAGCACGCUUAGGCGUGUGACUGCGUACCUUUUGUAUAAUGGGUCAGCGACUUAUAUUCUGUAGCAAGGUUAACCGAAUAGGGGAGCCGAAGGGAAACCGAGUCUUAACUGGGCGUUAAGUUGCAGGGUAUAGACCCGAAACCCGGUGAUCUAGCCAUGGGCAGGUUGAAGGUUGGGUAACACUAACUGGAGGACCGAACCGACUAAUGUUGAAAAAUUAGCGGAUGACUUGUGGCUGGGGGUGAAAGGCCAAUCAAACCGGGAGAUAGCUGGUUCUCCCCGAAAGCUAUUUAGGUAGCGCCUCGUGAAUUCAUCUCCGGGGGUAGAGCACUGUUUCGGCAAGGGGGUCAUCCCGACUUACCAACCCGAUGCAAACUGCGAAUACCGGAGAAUGUUAUCACGGGAGACACACGGCGGGUGCUAACGUCCGUCGUGAAGAGGGAAACAACCCAGACCGCCAGCUAAGGUCCCAAAGUCAUGGUUAAGUGGGAAACGAUGUGGGAAGGCCCAGACAGCCAGGAUGUUGGCUUAGAAGCAGCCAUCAUUUAAAGAAAGCGUAAUAGCUCACUGGUCGAGUCGGCCUGCGCGGAAGAUGUAACGGGGCUAAACCAUGCACCGAAGCUGCGGCAGCGACGCUGAUGCGUUGUUGGGUAGGGGAGCGUUCUGUAAGCCUGCGAAGGUGUGCUGUGAGGCAUGCUGGAGGUAUCAGAAGUGCGAAUGCUGACAUAAGUAACGAUAAAGCGGGUGAAAAGCCCGCUCGCCGGAAGACCAAGGGUUCCUGUCCAACGUUAAUCGGGGCAGGGUGAGUCGACCCCUAAGGCGAGGCCGAAAGGCGUAGUCGAUGGGAAACAGGUUAAUAUUCCUGUGCUUGGUGUUACUGCGAAGGGGGGACGGAGAAGGCUAUGUUGGCCGGGCGACGGUUGUCCCGGUUUAAGCGUGUAGGCUGGUUUUCCAGGCAAAUCCGGAAAAUCAAGGCUGAGGCGUGAUGACGAGGCACUACGGUGCUGAAGCAACAAAUGCCCUGCUUCCAGGAAAAGCCUCUAAGCAUCAGGUAACAUCAAAUCGUACCCCAAACCGACACAGGUGGUCAGGUAGAGAAUACCAAGGCGCUUGAGAGAACUCGGGUGAAGGAACUAGGCAAAAUGGUGCCGUAACUUCGGGAGAAGGCACGCUGAUAUGUAGGUGAAGUCCCUCGCGGAUGGAGCUGAAAUCAGUCGAAGAUACCAGCUGGCUGCAACUGUUUAUUAA
rnacentral:rRNA from 1 species